CCAGACCUCUUAGGUGGAUUGGGACAGUUCUGCUUUCUGUCCUGAGAGUCAGAAUUAAAGAUUGAGAAGCAGCAUUUAGUUUUCAUGCACCAUUUAAAUGGAACAAAGUCCCAGAAAGCUGCAGGUCCGCUGCAACUCUCAGAAGACUUUUUUG